rnacentral:rRNA from 1 species
CCCGCACAAGCGGUGGAGCAUGUGGUUUAAUUCGAUGAUACGCGAGGAACCUUACCAGGGCUUAAAUGUAGUCUGACAGGUCUGGAAACAGACUUUUCUUCGGACAGAUUACAAGGUGCUGCAUGGUUGUCGUCAGCUCGUGCCGUGAGGUGUCAGGUUAAGUCCUAUAACGAGCGCAACCCCUGUGGUUAGUUGCCAGCGAGUAAUGUCGGGAACUCUAGCCAGACUGCCGGUGCAAACCGCGAGGAAGGUGGGGAUGACGUCAAAUCAUCACGGCCCUUACGUCCUGGGCCACACACGUGCUACAAUGGUAGGGACAGAGAGCAGCCACUUCGCGAGAAGGAGUGAAUCUACAAACCCUAUCACAGUUCGGAUCGCAGUCUGCAACUCGACUGCGUGAAGCUGGAAUCGCUAGUAAUCGCAUAUCAGCCAUGAUGCGGUGAAUACGUUCCCGGGCCUUGUACACACCGCCCGUCAAGCCAUGGAAGCCGGGGGUACCUGAAGUCGGUCACCGCAAGGAGCCGCCUAGGGUAAAACUGGUAACUGGGGCUAAGUCGUAACAAGGUAACCGUA